rnacentral:rRNA from 1 species
UCUUCUCCGCCGGCGACCGGCGCACGGGUGAGUAACACGUAUGCAACCUGCCCUCGUCAGGGGGACAACCCGCCGAAAGGCGGGCUAAACCCGCGUACAUGCCACCGGGGCAUCCCGGAGGCAGGAAAGGCUUCGGCCGGACAGGGAUGGGCAUGCGGCGCAUUAGGCAGUAGGCGGGGUAACGGCCCACCUAACCGACGAUGCGUAGGGGUUCUGAGAGGAAGGUCCCCCACACUGGUACUGAGACACGGACCAGACUCCUACGGAAGGCAGCAG